GGAUGACACUUUUCGGAGCGUAAACUCCUUUUAUCAGGAAAGAAUAAUGACGGUACUGAUGAAUAAGCACCGGCUAACUCCGUGCCAGCAGCCGCGGUAAUACGGGGGGUGCAAGCGUUACUCGGAAUCACUGGGCGUAAAGGACGCGUAGGCGGAUUAUCAAGUCUUUUGUGAAAUCUAGUGGCUUAACCACUAAACUGCUUAGGAAACUGAUAGUCUAGAGUAGGGGAGAGGUAGAUGGAAUUCUUGGUGUAGGGGUAAAAUCCGUAGAGAUCAAGAAGAAUACCAUUGCGAAAGCGAUCUGCUGGAACCUAACUGACGCUGAGGCGUGAAAGCGUGGGUAGCAAACAGGAUUAGAUACCCUGGUAGUCCACGCCCUAAACGAUGUAUACUAGUUGUUGCUUUGCUAGUCAAGGCAGUAAUGCAGCUAACGCAUUAAGUAUACCGCCUGGGGAGUACGGUCGCAAGAUUAAAACUCAAAGGAAUAGACGGGGACCCGCACAAGCGGUGGAGCAUGUGGUUUAAUUCGAAGAUACGCGAAGAACCUUACCUGGACUUGACAUCCUAAAAACAUCUAAGAGAUUAGAAAGUGCUAGUUUACUAGAAUUUAGUGACAGGUGCUGCACGGCUGUCGUCAGCUCGUGUCGUGAGAUGUUGGGUUAAGUCCCGCAACGAGCGCAACCCACGUGUUUAGUUGCUAACAGCUCGGCUGAGCACUCUAAACAGACUGCCUUCGUAAGGAGGAGGAAGGUGUGGACGACGUCAAGUCAUCAUGGCCCUUAUGUCCAGGGCGACACACGUGCUACAAUG
rnacentral:rRNA from 1 species